AGGAUGAACGCUAGCGGGAGGCCUAACACAUGCAAGCCGAGCGGUAGAAGAUCUUCGGAUCUUUGAGAGCGGCGUACGGGUGCGGAACACGUGUGCAACCUGCCUUUAUCUGGGAGAUAGCCCGGGGAAACCCGGAUUAAUAUCCCAUAAUAUCUCGUCAGGCAUCUGACGAAAUUGAAAGCUCCGGCGGAUAGAGAUGGGCACGCGCAAGAUUAGAUAGUUGGUGAGGUAACGGCUCACCAAGUCAGUGAUCUUUAGGGGGCCUGAGAGGGUGAUCCCCCACACUGGUACUGAGACACGGACCAGACUCCUACGGGAGGCAGCAGUGAGGAAUAUUGGACAAUGGGUGAGAGCCUGAUCCAGCCAUCCCGCGCGAAGGACGACGGCCCUAUGGGUUGUAAACUUCUUUUGUACAGGGAUAAACCUACUUACGUGUAAGUAGCUGAAGGUACUGUACGAAUAAGCACCGGCUAACUCC
rnacentral:rRNA from 1 species